CAUAACAAAGUCCUUAUAUUUUAUGAGGAAGUUUAUACCUCAUAUAUAGGUGACCAUUGCAAUGUAUAAAUGUAUUCUCAUAAUCAAUAUUGUUGAAUUUUUAUAGUUGAGAAUUAUAUUCUUUCACUAAUAAUCUUCAUGUUUUGGUUUCGAUUUCGGUCUGCUGGUCGGAUGCUCUGUACAGCAAGCUUUUUUGACCGCCCGAGCAUAAGUUUACAACACCCGCGCUAUCUUCUCUCGAUAGCGUUUUCUGUCAGUAAAGCUUCGCUCGUAUCUGGCCAAGCACUAAAAAUCAUCUAACGGGAGGAUGCAAUCCCAUCGAAAACGAGUUGCUGGUCAGGAAAAUUAUGGAGGCCUCCAUUUUCAUUGUGUUCAUCGACAUCAUCACCCUUUUCGUCCACCACGAAGGACAUCCACUCACUGAUAUAAUAUCUUCCGCAAGGAUCUACGGCUAUGUAGAGCGGUAGCAACGUGGCCAUUAUGUACGCCAGGAGACGAGAAUCCUGCCAUGUGGCUCUGGUGACUACAUGUUGGAUCCGGAGCUCUGUGACAACAUCAUCAUAAUCGCAGCACUUCAUCCCAUGAAGCGGAAUCAUCUAAGAUUUAAUUUGUUUAUUUUUUAAUAAAAUUAUAUAUAUAAUAUUAGUAUUUGUAUUAUUUUCUUAAUUGCAUGCCAUAAUCAUUAUUAAUACAUUAAAUCAAUUACGAAUAUAAGUUUUAUUCCGAUUGUACUAUAAAAGUUAUGAGUCGCGAACAUGAA